rnacentral:rRNA from 1 species
GACGAACGCUGGCGGCGUGCUUAACACAUGCAAGUCGAACGGAAAGGCCCUGCUUUUGUGGGGUGCUCGAGUGGCGAACGGGUGAGUAACACGUGAGUAACCUGCCCUUGACUUUUGGAUAACUUCAGGAAACUGGGGCUAAUACCGGAUAGGAGCUCCUGCUGCAUGGUGGGGGUUGGAAAGUUUCGGCGGUUGGGGAUGGACUCGCGGCUUAUCAGCUUGUUGGUGGGGUAGUGGCUUACCAAGGCUUUGACGGGUAGCCGGCCUGAGAGGGUGACCGGCCACAUUGGGACUGAGAUACGGCCCAGACUCAUACGGGAGGCAGCAGUGGGGAAUAUUGCACAAUGGGCGGAAGCCUGAUGCAGCAACGCCGCGUGCGGGAUGAAGGCCUUCGGGUUGUAAACCGCUUUCGCCUGUGACGAAGCGUGAGUGACGGUAAUGGGUAAAGAAGCACCGGCUAACUACGUG